GGCGAAACUUAAAAAUUUCUAACUCCAGUAUCAAAUCCCGUGCUUACCAAUCAAUAGUGAGACCAAAACUCGAAUAUGCCUGUAGUCUAUGGGAUCCACACACAGCAGAUUAUAAAAAUAAGCUAGAAAUGGUACAGAGGCGUGCGGCCCGAUAUGUAUGUAACAAUUACCACAACACCAGUAGCGUUACAUCCAUGUUAAACGAACUACAAUGGCCCUCACUCAGUGAGCGCCGCCUCAAAACCAGACUUAUC
rnacentral:lncRNA from 1 species